UCGGAGUCGGAUCGGAGUUGCGCUAAUUGAGCUGAUGGGAGUCAUCUUCGCUUUCUACGUGUGCUGUAAGCUUAGGGAACAGAAUAAAAUCUACUAGAGACAUUAGGAUAGACAAUAAAAUCUACUCUAGACAUUAGGACUGACGAUAAAAUCUACUAGAGACAUUAGAACAGACAAUAAAAUCUACUAGAGAUAUUAGGACAAACAAUUAAACCUACUAGAGACAUUAGAACAGACAAUAAAAUCUACUAGAGACAUUGGGACAGACAAUAAAACCUACUAGAGACAUUAGAACAGACAAUAACAUCUACUAGAGAUAUUAGGGACAGACAUGGAGCUGCUGAUGAUGGGAAUGGACUUGGAAGGCCUGAAACAUCCGGACAGAGGCGAGGUACCUUGUGACUGGAAAUUUAUAUGUGUAUAUAUGAAACUUUCGGGAACAGGCGAGAUAGUUUAGGAAGAAAGCUUCAAAGAAUAGCUGCUCACUUUCCAAGCAAGUAAUAGUUGCUCCGUUCCAAACAAGGAAUCGUUGCCCCGGUCCAAGCAAGGAAUAGUUUCUCCCGUUCCAGCAAGAAAUAUAGCUCCAACCGUUCUAGCAAGGAAUAUAGCUCCAACCGUCCCAAGCAAGGAAUAUAGCUCCAACCGUUCCAGCAAGGAAUAUAGCUCCAACCGUUCCAGCAAGGAAUAUAGCUCCUGCCGUUCCAAGCAAGGAAUAGCUCCUCCCGUUCCAGCUGAUACAGCUGUCGCCAUUUGAGGCACAAUACAAAGCUGCUCCUGUUACAUACAUUCGUGGACCUCCUAAAGUUAAAUGAAUAAAUUUCCCUUAACAUAAAACCAGACGUCAUCACAUUAUUAAAGGAUUAGAGCUCAUAACUGUGAUAUUUAUCUCCAGACGAGCCACAAGAAAACAUUACAUAAAAAUUAAUGUUUGGGUACAUGUUAAGACUUUUCAACGUAUCUGUAUCCAAAUGCUUAGAUGUUAACCGUGAUUCGUGACUCGUGAUUCAGACAUAGUCUGUAAAGCGUGCUUCAUGAACCGUAUUAAUAAUCUGGGGUAUGACCUUUAAGGUCACAGCAUGACGUAACAGCAUGACUACACAACGCGUAAACGAAGAUUACGUCAUGAGUAAAUGUUCAGGUUGCUAGAAAAUUAAGAAAUUGCUUAAACUCACUGCGUAUACGAUGUGAUAAUUGCAGUAAGAAAAUGAAGUGUCCAUUGUGUUUGGACACGAUCCGGGGCCUAUUCUAUUCUCCACGUAGAGUGGAAUCGGAUGUAUUAAGAGUGGUCUAUAGUUGAUAUAUAACAGUACAAAAUGUGAUUUCACAUUAUGCUUAACUUCAAACAUUUGAAUAUAUUGAAUAAUGUUUUAAGGCUUCAGUUAAAAAAGUAGAAGUAUUUAAGAUAUGUUAAUCAUUAGUUAUUGUUUUUGAUCUUGGAGUCAAGUAUACAUAUAGUGUAGUCCCAGCGAACGGGAUAAUAAUCGCUGUGGUUCACAUGCGCACAGGUUUUAUUUAUAAUCAGUAUAAAAUGUCAUCAGCCUGAAAACAUAUAUAUUGUAAAUAUACAGAAUUGUACUAUGUACUAUAAAUAUUUAAUUUUAUAUGCUUUUUAAAAAUAUCAAUGUUAUACACUUUGCAUCUUUUCAAAUUACACUUUACAUAUCAUAUUUAUAUAUCGUGUCAAUCCUAAUGUUAUUGUUUUGAUUACUCGCUGGAUUAUUUGUUUAAAGCGUCAAAACAAAAAAAAAACGUUUUACAAUCGGUGUUACUGGGCACAUAAUGCAAACUCGUACAUUGCUGUACCCACUAAGACCUUGCAUGCUCAUCCAAAAUAGGAUUUUGUUUUUAUUUUAUUUUUCACAGUUCACAGUUUUAAUACGUUUAUCUCUGCUGGGGAAAAAACCGAAAUGCUUUAAAUUAUCUCAGAUAUGUAUAUAUAAUUUACCUGUGUACCGGUGUAAAUAUUGUGAAUAUUAUAUGUUGCAUAAUUUUAAUUAGAUCUGAUUUCUUUUAUGAUGAUGUGUCAAAUACAGGCCUAGUCACUGUAUUUUUUAAAAAAAUUUUCUGACCAGAUAUGGCAUGUUCUUUUACAUAAUGUACAUACAUAUCCUUCUAUAAAUCAGCCAACCCCCCCACAACGCAUUCUCUACUCCAAAACCCCGCCUUUUUCACAGUUCUGACGGAACAUGCUCUGUCGAUGAGUUUGAGUCUCAGCCCUAAUGAACAUGUGUAUGUAAUGCGAUACCCCGUUCUAACAGUGUACAAACAAGGGAGUGAAAUAAAAAAAAUAUUUAAUAAA